rnacentral:lncRNA from 1 species
CUGUUAUGUCUCCUUAAGGACCUCCUCAACCCUCUGUGUCUUUAUUCUGGUACAGUAGGAGUUUUAAACCCUCAGUUGCGCAGAGUGUUUAGAGGGAUACCAAGGCAAGGGUUUUGCUCUCUGUUUCAGCAGUGUUUACAGAAGAAAAAAAAAGCUACAGUCUAACCAGCCUAAAGGACAUCACAUAUGUGCCCACUUCAGCCAUUAAAGUCUGCUUUGGGACACCGUGUCAGAUUGGACAAUCUGAAGAAGAAGGAAUUGAAGCACACACUUUUGCCUGUCUGGAAGACAAGUCUCCCAGAAUAUACCUUUUCCUACACUCAUAUGACACAAGUCCAGAAAAGGACCUCAAGAGUGUGAAAAAACAAAGUUAAGCUUGAAUAUGAAUGUAACGAAAGCAGUGACACUGAAGAAAGUUUCUUCCAGGCAUCUGCAAAGACUUAUGGAUCAGACAAUGAUGUUAUCGGAGGUAUGAAGUCAGAAAUACUUUACCAGUUUGAAAUGUGCAUGAAAGAUAAGACAUGGUUAGCACUGCUGAUGAUUUUUAGAUUUUUUUCAU